GACGAACGCUGGCGGCGUGCUUAACACAUGCAAGUCGAACGGUGAAGCGCCUUCCUUUUUGGUGGGUGUGGAUGAGUGGCGAACGGGUGAGUAACACGUGAGUAACCUGCCCCCUUCUUCUGGAUAACCGCAUGAAAGUGUGGCUAAUACGGGAUAUUCUGGGUCUGUCGCAUGAUGGGUCUGGGAAAGAUAUUGUUUCGGUGGGGGAUGGGCUCGCGGCCUAUCAGCUUGUUGGUGGGGUGAUGGCCUACCAAGGCGGUGACGGGUAGCCGGCCUGGGAGGGUGGACGGUCUCACUGGGACUGCGGCACGGCCCGGACUGCGACGGGGGGCAGCAGUGGGGAAUAUUGCACAGUGGGCGCAAGCCUGAUGCAGCGGCGCCGCGGGAGGGAUGGAGGCCUUCGGGUUGUGAACCUCUUUCGCCAGUGAAGCAGGCCUGCCUCGUUUGUGGGUGGGUUGACGGUAGCUGGAUAAGAAGCGCCGGCUAACUACGUG
rnacentral:rRNA from 1 species